rnacentral:misc_RNA from 1 species
GAAAUGCGAUAAGUAAUGUGAAUUGCAGAAUUCCGUGAAUCAUCGAAUCUUUGAACGCACAUUGCGCCCUCUGGCAUUCCGGGGGGGAUGCCUGUCCGAGCGUCAUUACGCACCCUCAAGCCCGGCUUGUGUGAUGGGCCCCGGCGUCUCGUUCGCGAGACGGGCCCGAAAGGCAGCGGCGGCGUCGACCCGAUGAGCCCGAGCGUAUGGGGACUUCUGUCACACGUUCGCGGUGCGGACCGGCGCCUGCUUGACUUUUCUGAUUAUCCAGGUUGACCUCGGAUCAGGUAGGGAUACCCGCUGAACUUAAGC